rnacentral:lncRNA from 1 species
CAGAUCUAGGUAUCUGAGCAGAAGAUUCAGUUAGGCAGUGGGAUCUACGGAUCUGGAGUUCAGGAGUGCAAUCCAGGCUGGAAAUGUAACUUCCUCAGCUUAUUUUUUUUUUUUUUUUUUUUUUUACUGAUAACAUUUUACUUCUGAUUCUAAACACAUUUUGGGUAUGGUAGUGACCACUGAGGGGACGGGAGGGGAGCAAAAAGGCUCAGGAGGGUGUGGUCAGUC